rnacentral:hammerhead_ribozyme from 25 species
ACCCCUUCUACCGAUGAGAUCGGUACUGAUGAGUCCAUGCGAUAGCAAUGACAGGACGAAAAGUGGA